AUUGGAGUCUGCAACUCGACUCCAUGAAGUCGGAAUCGCUAGUAAUCGUGAAUCAGAAUGUCACGGUGAAUACGUUCCCGGGCCUUGUACACACCGCCCGUCACACCAUGGGAGUGGGCUGCAAAAGAAGUGGGUAGUUUAACCUUUCGGGGAGGACGCUCACCACUUUGUGGUUCAUGACUGGGGUGAAGUCGUAACAAGGUAGCCCUAGGGGAACCUGGGGCUGGAUCACCUCCUUAUACGAAGAUACC
rnacentral:rRNA from 1 species